GGAGAGGUCGCAGAGUGGCAAUGCAUCGGCCUAGUAGGCCGUGGACGUGGAAUACCGUCUGUAGGUUCGAAUCCUACCCUCUCCG
rnacentral:tRNA from 1 species